AGAUGCCGCCAAGAUCCCCUGGUGCUGAGGGUAGCAGGUGUUCCUCAUCUUCACUCAUCUGGAGGAUAAUAAGAAGGUGGAGCUCGCAGCACUCCAGUGCCUGAGUGUUUGCCUUUGUGUUGACUUCCAAGCCUCAAAGCUCCUGCAACCUUCAGCUUUGGCUCAAAGUCUCAGUUUUGGAUCCUGCCUCAGUCAGAGCUUCAAGUACUCAAGUGGCUGAAGUACUAGCUGACAGCUCAAGCCUACCUCCUUCAGUAAGCGAACCCUGCUCACCCUCCAACUAUUACCUUCAGAUGCAGCUUGCGGGAACCUCAUCAGAUAACACACAUAAAAAAAAUCAAACUGUCAACACCUCACCUGAACUUUUCCUUGAGAAUUCACCACCUCCUUGGACUGACUCGCAGACUCAGCAGCUGCAUUACCAUUCUCCCAGACUCACAUCGUUCUUCCUCAACCAAGCUCAACCCCAGCUUCUGUAAGCUAACUAAAAUCAUUCUGCUACUGUCUCCUCUGAGUAACGUACUCCCUUCAUUUCUCCUGAACAGUUUGGUGUGUCCAGUCCCGGUUCCUGUUCCACUAUUAAUCCCUGUAAAAAUAAACCUUAAUUAACUUUU